CUUCUUCUCGCUGCUCCGAGAGCUGUCAAGGCUUGGUCGGGGAGCUCUGGGCGGCAGGCUGGGACCGGGCAGGCAGGCGCAGUGCACGCUUCACGCCGCCCACCAGGCUCCGCGGCCUGCGUGGCGCCCACGCCCUCGCCCCUCGCCCCUCGCCCCACGCCCCUCGCUGGGGGCUCAGCCUAGCUCCGCGCCCAGGCGUGCACCUGGAGAAGGUGGAGGCGCGUAGGGACGCCUAGCCAAAGCGCAGCGGGUCUGGGAGGCCACAAGGGCGUGGACGAGGCCUGCCGGGGAGGGCGGCCUCGCACGGCCUCACGAGGCGCCCCCUCCCAAUACUCGCAGCCCGGGCCCCGCAAGCCCGCGCCCUUCGCCUCCCCCAGGCGCAUAAAACACUAACCGACUUUUACUCGUCUGGCCAUAGGGCACCGCCAGCUCCCCACCCUCCUCCGGCCUCCACGCCAGACAUGCUGGGCUGGCGACCCACGCUUGCAUGCGUUGGGGGAAAGCAAAGACCCUUAGGCCCGAGGCAGCUGUUUCCUCAGAAGCUGUGGGUCCGCUCGGGUGGUCCCGGGGCGAGGUCCCUGAAGAGGCGAGGCGGCUGGAGCGGCCCAGGCCCAAGCAGGCCUGGUCGUCUCCCUGCGACCUCGCCUCGCCCCGCUGCCCCCACCGGCACCCCCUGCCCCAAGCCCGUCCUGCGGAAGUCGGCUCCUCUGGCCGAGGCAGAAACUAGAAAGCCUGCCCCGGGCCAGGUGCAGGAAAGCAAAGCAGAAGUAAGUCUCGGGCCGCAGAUGCGGCCCUGGCGGGCAGGGCCUCGGCGCCCAUUCCCGCCGCGACCUCGCCCGGCUGCGUACGCCAAGGAGCGCAGGAUAGAGGCGCUGGUGUCUGCGGGGCCGCCCCGGGCUCGGAGAGCGGAGGAGCAGGGAAAG
rnacentral:lncRNA from 1 species